CGUAGGUGGGGAUGUAAGUUAGAUGUGAAAUACCGUUUGCUCAACAACGGCCGUGCAUCUAAAACUGCAUUUCUUGAGGGAUAGCGGAGAAAACGGAAUUCCACGUGUAGCGGUGAAAUGCGUAGAUAUGUGGAAGAACACCUGUGGCGAAAGCGGUUUUUCUAGCUCAACCCUGACACUGAGGCACGAAAGAAGGGAGCAAAC
rnacentral:rRNA from 1 species